CUCCAGAUGUCCCCCUGGUUUUGGGUGUGUGUGUCCCUGUGGUGGUGGUGGUGGUGGUGCUGUCUGCUGUUCUGCUGCUCUUCUACAAAAAGAGGACUGAGCACUCUGAUGGUUCUAACAAGAGAGGAACCACAGACAUCACCAGGACUGAGAUUGACCUGUAUGAGAACUGUGCUCCACUCUCCACCCGUGCAGACUCCAUCUACCAGAGUCUGGAUCCAGCCUCCAGGGAUCCGGACCACAUCUACUCUACUCUCUCUUAGAUACAACAUCAAUAAG